GAUGAACGCUAGCGGAAGGCCUAAUACAUGCAAGUCGAACGGGCAUAUUGAUUUCGGUUGAUAUGUUAGUGGCGCACGGGUGAGUAACGCGUACACAACCUGCCUUAUAUUGGGGGAUAGCCCUGGGAAACUGGGAGUAAUACCGCAUAAUAUUAUUGAGAGGCAUCUUUUGAUAAUUAAAGCUGAGGCGAUAUAAGAUGGGUGUGCGUCUGAUUAGGUAGUUGGUAGGGUAACGGCCUACCAAGCCGACGAUCAGUAGGGGGUGUGAGAGCAUGGCCCCCCACACGGGUACUGAGACACGGACCCGACUCCUACGGGAGGCAGCAGUAAGGAAUAUUGGACAAUGGGCGCAAGCCUGAUCCAGCCAUCCCGCGUGCAGGAUGACAGCCCUACGGGUUGUAAACUGCUUUUGUUAGGGAAGAAACCCCUGAUUUAUCGGGGGCUGACGGUACCUUUCGAAUAAGCACCGGCUAACUCCGUGCCAGCAGCCGCGGUAAAGUCUAGCA
rnacentral:rRNA from 1 species